UACGUAGGGGGCGAGCGUUGUCCGGAAUCAUUGGGCGUAAAGAGCGUGUAGGCGGCUUGGCAAGUCUGACGUGAAAUCCCGCGGCUCAACCGCGGUAGGUCGUUGGAAACUGCCUCGCUAGAGUCCGGAAGAGGAGAGCGGAAUUCCUGGUGUAGCGGUGGAAUGCGCAGAUAUCAGGAGGAACACCAAUGGCGAAGGCAGAUCUCUGGGCCGUAACUGACGCUGAGGAGCGAAAGCAUGGGGAGCGAACAGG
rnacentral:rRNA from 1 species